UGAGAGGUUGAUCGGCCACAUUGGGACUGAGACACGGCCCAAACUCCUACGGGAGGCAGCAGUAGGGAAUCUUCCACAAUGGGCGAAAGCCUGAUGGAGCAACGCCGCGUGGGUGAAGAAGGUCUUCGGAUCGUAAAACCCUGUUGUUAGAGAAGAAAGUGCGUGAGAGUAACUGUUCACGUUUCGACGGUAUCUAACCAGAAAGCCACGGCUAACUACGUGCCAGCAGCCGCGGUAAUACGUAGGUGGCAAGCGUUAUCCGGAUUUAUUGGGCGUAAAGGGAACGCAGGCGGUCUUUUAAGUCUGAUGUGAAAGCCUUCGGCUUAACCGGAGUAGUGCAUUGGAAACUGGGAGACUUGAGUGCAGAAGAGGAGAGUGGAACUCCAUGUGUAGCGGUGAAAUGCGUAGAUAUAUGGAAGAACACCAGUGGCGAAAGCGGCUCUCUGGUCUGUAACUGACGCUGAGGUUCGAAAGCGUGGGUAGCAAACAGGAUUAGAUACCCUGGUAGUCCACGCCGUAAACGAUGAAUGCUAAGUGUUGGAGGGUUUCCGCCCUUCAGUGCUGCAGCUAACGCAAUAAGCAUUCCGCCUGGGGAGUACGACCGCAAGGUUGAAACUCAAAGGAAUUGACGGGGGCCCGCACAAGCGGUGGAGCAUGUGGUUUAAUUCGAAGCAACGCGAAGAACCUUACCAGGUCUUGACAUCUUUUGACAAUCCUAGAGAUAGGACUUUCCCUUCGGGGACAAAAUGACAGGUGGUGCAUGGUUGUCGUCAGCUCGUGUCGUGAGAUGUUGGGUUAAGUCCCGCAACGAGCGCAACCCU
rnacentral:rRNA from 1 species